AGUGCACCAAUUGUGUAAUGGUUUCCAAACCUUGAAGGGCGUUCAACACUUUCUCCUCAAAGGCUGUGUUUCUUUGGGGUGGAGGAGGAGUAUGUUGAAAUUGAGUCGUGGGACGGUAGGGAUGAAUAUUUUGUGGGGUUUGAAAAUUCUGGAAGUAGGGUUGGGCAGUAUUCGAAGCUUGCUGCUUCCAAGACAAGUUUGGAUGAUUUUGCUAUCCCAGGUUAUAUGUAUUGGAAAAUAGGUCAUUACCCGGUCAGUUGGUCAAUCUUAUGGGACAAUGCAUCUGCCUUGCUAGAUAGGUCCAUAGAAUGACUUAUUUCACAGAUGGUCCCUUUUCUUUGAGAACUCGAGGGUGCUUGACGAGAACAAGAAGUAUGGUGGAGGGAGUUUUCAUUUAGAUUUUCAAAUAAUUGCCAUGCUUCAUGCUCAUUUUGAAGCAUAAAUGUCCCCCCGCAUGCGGCAUCAAUCAUCUGACGGUUUCGUUCAGUCAAUCCGUCAUAGAAACAUUGCACUAGCUGCCAUUUAGGUAUUUGAUGAUGUGGGCAUUUA
rnacentral:lncRNA from 1 species